rnacentral:SRP_RNA from 1 species
CCGUGCUAGGCGGGGAGGUAGCGGUGCCCUGUACUCGCAAUCCGCUAUAGCGAGGCUUAAUUCCUGCUCGAGGCUCCCCGGUUGUGAGGUCGGUUGCUGCGCAAGUGGUGUUGAAGAGUGGGUCCUGCGCAACGGGAACUUGUGAACCCCGUCAGGUCCGGGAGGAAGCAGCGGUAAGCAAGCCAUUCCGUGUGCCGUAGGGAAGCCUGCUUGGAGCUAACUACGCAGCAGCGCUUGGGGCCGGAUGUCAACAGCAGGUGCACGG